rnacentral:rRNA from 1 species
AAAUUACAUAAACAAAAUUAUUCGCCAGAGUACUACUAGCAACAGCUUAAAACUCAAAGGACUUGGCGGUGUUUUAUAUCCUUCUAGAGGAGCCUGUUCUAUAAUCGAUAAACCCCGAUAAACCUCACCAAUUCUUGCUAAUACAGUCUAUAUACCGCCAUCUUCAGCAAACCCUAAAAAGGAAAAAAAGUAAGCGUAAUUAUGAUACAUAAAAACGUUAGGUCAGGGUGUAACCUAUGAAAUGGGAAGAAAUGGGCUACUUUCUCUACACCAAGAGAAUCAAGCACGAAAGUUAUUAUGAAACCAAUAACCAAAGGAGGAUUUAGCAGUAAACUAAGAAUAGAGUGCUUAGUUGAAUUAGGCCAUGAAGCACGCACACCCCGCCCGCCC